CUGAUUCCUCCCUCUUGAAGAACUGUAAUGCCAUUAAUUUGGUGUUGCAGGGAAUCAGGACUGUUACUUUGAAAAAAUUAGAGUGUUUAAAGCAGGCUUUAGCUUGAAUACAUUAGCAUGGAAUAAUGAAAUAGGACGUUUGAUCCUAUUUUGUUGGUUUCUAGGAUUGACGUAAUGAUUAAUAGGGAUAGUUGGGA
rnacentral:rRNA from 1 species